rnacentral:rRNA from 1 species
UACGUAGGGUGCGAGCGUUGUCCGGAAUUAUUGGGCGUAAAGAGCUCGUAGGUGGUUUGUCGCGUUGUUCGUGAAAACUCACAGCUUAACUGCGGGCUUGCAGCCGAUACGGGCAGGCUAGAGUUCGGUAGGGGAGACUGGAAUUCCCGGUGUAGAGGUGAAAUUCGUAGAUAUCGGGAGGAACACCAGUGGCGAAGGCGGCGACCUGGACGGACAUUGACGCUGAGACGCGAAAGCGUGGGGAGCAAACAGG